rnacentral:rRNA from 1 species
UUGAACGCUGGCGGCAUGCCUUACACAUGCAAGUCGAACGGGCAUAGGAGCUUGCUCCUGAUGGCGAGUGGCGAACGGGUGAGUAAUAUAUCGGAACGUGCCCUAGAGUGGGGGAUAACUAGUCGAAAGAUUAGCUAAUACCGCAUACGAUCUACGGAUGAAAGUGGGGGAUCGCAAGACCUCAUGCUCAUGGAGCGGCCGAUAUCUGAUUAGCUAGUUGGUGGGGUAAAAGCUCACCAAGGCGACGAUCAGUAGCUGGUCCGAGAGGACGACCAGCCACACUGGGACUGAGACACGGCCCAGACUCCUACGGGAGGCAGCAGUGGGGAAUUUUGGACAAUGGGGGCAACCCUGAUCCAGCAAUGCCGCGUGAGUGAAGAAGGCCUUCGGGUUGUAAAGCUCUUUUGUCAGGGAAGAAAGGUUGCAGCUAAUAUCUGCGACUAAUGACGGUACCUGAAGAAUAAGCACCGGCUAACUACGUGCCAGCAGCCGCGGUAAUACGUAGGGUGCAAGCGUUAAUCGGAAUUACUGGGCGUAAAGCGUGCGCAGGCGGUUGUGUAAGUCAGAUGUGAAAUCCCCGGGCUCAACCUGGGAAUUGCAUUUGAGACUGCACGGCUAGAGUGUGUCAGA